UACGAAGGGGGGCUAGCGUUGUUCGGAAUCACUGGGCGUAAAGGGCGCGUAGGCGGCUUUAUAAGUCGGGGGGUGAAAGCCUGUGGCUCAACCACAGAAUUGCCUUCGAUACUGUAGAGCUUGAGACCGGAAGAGGUAAGUGGAACUGCGAGUGUAGAGGUGAAAUUCGUAGAUAUUCGCAAGAACACCAGUGGCGAAGGCGGCUCACUGGCCCGAUACUGACGCUGAGGCACGAAAGCGUGGGGAGCAAACAGG
rnacentral:rRNA from 1 species